GAGGUCCGACCUGCCCAGUGAUAUUAAUUCAACGGCCGCGGUAUUUUGACCGCGCUAAGGUAGCACAAUCACUUGUCUCUUAAAUGGGGACUAGUAUGAAAGGACCCACGAGAAUCUAACUGUCUCCUUUCUUUAAUCCGUGAAACUAAUCUCCCUGUGAAAAAGCAGGGAUCAUUAUAUAAGACGAGAAGACCCUAUGGAGCUUUAGAUAAAGCAAUACUUUCUUUUUCUAAAUCACUUUCAGAAGAAUACCCCCAAGACAUCUUGUUGCCAAUCUUCGGUUGGGGCGACCACGGAGUAAAACUAAUCCUCCACGCCGAAUGGAAUUUUCCAUAACAAAGAGCUACAGCUCUACGAACCAAAAAAUUGACAAUUGACCCAAUAUUUGAUCAACGAAACAAGUUACCCUAGGGAUAACAGCGCAAUCUACUUCAAGAGUCCCUAUUGACAAGUGGGUUU
rnacentral:rRNA from 1 species